rnacentral:rRNA from 1 species
UUAGAGGAAGUAAAAGUCGUAACAAGGUUUCCGUAGGUGAACCUGCGGAAGGAUCAUUACCAAACAUGGAAUAUCAUAUCCCUUAAACCCACUCUGAGUAUUUGUACCUGUUGCUUCCGUAGGCAGUGAACUAUAUGUUUGCGCCUGCUCGUGCGGUGGACCUACGGGAGAUAUCAAACAACUUCGCAAUUUGUGACCUCAGUCUGAUCAUGUUUAUUCGUUAAACUUUAAAACUUUCAACAACGGAUCUCUUGGUUCUCGCAUCGAUGAAGAACGCAGCGAAAUGCGAUAAGUAGUGUGAAUUGCAGAAUUCCGUGAAUCAUCGAAUCUUUGAACGCACAUUGCGCCUUCCGGAAUUCCGGGAGGCAUGCCUGUUCGAGCGUCAUCAAAAACCUUCAAGCAUGGAUUCCUUUCAUGACUUGGUUUUGGAGUUGGAGUGGACAUGUGUCAUUCCCAUCCGAAAAUCAAUGGCAAUGUCGUCUGUACCAAUAAGCGUAGUAAUCAACAUUAUGUUUCGCUUUUUGUACAGUUAUUCAUUCGCCGUUAACCCCCCUCACUAUUUUCAAGUGUUUGACCUCGGAUCAGGUAGGGAUACCCGCUGAACUUAAGCAUAUCAAUAA